rnacentral:rRNA from 1 species
UACGGAAGGGGCAAGCGUUGUUCGGAAUCAUUGGGCGUAAAGGGCGCGUCGGUGGUUCUGUAUGUCUACCGUGAAAGCGUACGGCUCAACCGUAUUUUGUCGGUGGAAACUGCAGGACUUGAGGCUGGGAGGGGCUGGUGGAAUUCCCUGUGUAGCGGUGAAAUGCGUAGAUAUCUGGAGGAAUACCGGUGGCGAAGGCGGCAUCCUGGACCGGCAUUGACGCUGAUGAGCGAAAGCUAGGGGAGCAAACGGG